rnacentral:rRNA from 1 species
AGAGUUUGAUCCUGGCUCAGGAUGAACGCUGGCGGUCUGCUUAACACAUGCAAGUCGAACGGGCUCUUCGGAGCUAGUGGCAGACGGGUGAGUAACGCGUGAGAAUCUGCCUUCAGGAGGGGGAUAACGACUGGAAACGGUCGCUAAUACCCCAUAUGCCUCCGGGUGAAAAGUAAUUCGCCUGAAGAUGAGCUCGCGUCAGAUUAGCUAGUUGGUGGGGUAAGAGCCUACCAAGGCGACGAUCUGUAGCUGGUCUGAGAGGAUGAUCAGCCACACUGGGACUGAGACACGGCCCAGACUCCUACGGGAGGCAGCAGUGGGGAAUUUUCCGCAAUGGGCACAAGCCUGACGGAGCAAGACCGCGUGGGGGAUGACGGCCUAAUGGUUGUAAACCCCUUUUUUCUGGGAAGAAGACUGACGGUACCAGAGGAAUCAGCCUCGGCUAACUCCGUGCCAGCAGCCGCGGUAAUACGGAGGAGGCAAGCGUUAUCCGGAAUUAUUGGGCGUAAAGCGUCCGUAGGUGGUUAUUCAAGUCUGCUGUCAAAGCGUGGGGCUUAACUCCAUAGAGGCAGUGGAAACUGAGUGACUAGAGUGCGGUAGGGGUCGAGGGAAUUCCCAGUGUAGCGGUGAAAUGCGUAGAUAUUGGGAAGAA